UCCCUCUCGGAGUCACACCUGGAGAGUUUCCAGGACUCUACCAGUCUCGACUAUGGGAGGGAGAGUCAAGCCGAGGUAUAUCUGUUCCAUUCCUAGCUUGGCUAGUGGCUAGCGCGUGGAAGGCCAUCUGCUACAAGU